UCCUAAAGGGUUGUUCGAGACUAGAACGUUGAUAGGCAGGGUGUGUAAGCGUUGUGAGGCGUUGAGCUAACCUGUACUAAUUGCCCGUGAGGCUUAACCAUACAACACCCAAGGGGUUU
rnacentral:rRNA from 2 species